CUCCCCCGCCCCCGCCCCCCGCUCUGCCGCGGGCCCCCGCCCGCCGCGGGCCGAGAGCUCGGCGCGCUCGACCCCGGGUCCCGCCUCCCCGAGGUUUUCGCUUUCGCUUUCCCGCUGAUGUCGUUGGGGAAAAUUAAGCUGCCGAGGCCAGGCUGGCGCAGAAGCCGUUCCUGGCGAGGGGCGCAGAGCACGGCRGCGGCGGCGGCCGGCCUGGAACCCGGGUCCCGCUGCCCGCGCCGGGCGAGGCAUGAAGACCUUCUCUGCAAAAUCCCUUUCUGGCCAGUCUCCCUGGGCUACCCGCUUGUAAAGGAGAUGUUAUCACCUCCCAGACUUUGCUCAGUGGAUUGCUCCAUCCUCCUUGGAAUCCCUUCUCCUAAUGUUCUUGCCACUACUUCUCCAACUGAGUUGCUGAGCUGUUGAGUGGCAUGCCGUCCUUGGAUGGCUUCUCCACCGACUUCCAUUCUACAUCAUGGUCAUCUUGACUUCGAAGAGCUACAUGCUGAACACUCACAAAUAUUCAUUUCCAGACUCUCCCCUGGAUAUCUCCAGCCAAGUGUCCAAAAGACAUCUCACACGAAACAUGUCUGUGUUAGCUUUUCAUCACUGUGACCAGAAUACCUGACAAGAACAACUUAGAGGAGGAAAGCUAUUUUUGGGCUCUCAGUUUCUGAGGAUUCAGUCUAUGGCAGCUGGCUCCAUUCCGUUGAACCUGAGGUGAGGCAGAACAUCAUGGUAGAAGUGGGUGGUAAAGAACUGCUCAAUUCAUGGCAGCCAGAAAGAAAACCUUCUAAGACGCUGGGGCUGUAGCUCAGUGGCAGAGCCCUUGCCUAGCAUGUGUGAGACACUGACUGGAUUCGAUUCUUAGCAUCACACAAUUAAUAAAUAAAAUAAAGAAACUUCUUGUAGGGAACA
rnacentral:lncRNA from 1 species